rnacentral:rRNA from 1 species
CAGGCCUAACACAUGCAAGUCGAACGAGAACGGUUACCUUCGGGUAUCUUAAUACAGUGGCGCACGGGUGAGUAACGCGUGGGUAAUCUACCUUUAGAUCCGGGAUAACGUUUCGAAAGAGGCGCUAAUACGGGAUAAGACCACGAUAUCUUUGGAUAUUGGGGUAAAAGGGGCUUAUGGCCUUGUCUAGAGAUGAGCCUGCGUGACAUUAGAUUGACGGUGGGGUAAUGGCCUACCGUAUUGUCUACGAUGUCUAGCUGGUCUGAGAGGAUGAUCAGCCACACUGGGACUGGAACACGGCCCAGACUCCUACGGGAGGCAGCAGUGAGGAAUUUUGCGCAAUGGGGGAAACCCUGACGCAGCAACGCCGCGUGAGUGAUGAAGGCCUUUUGGUUGUAAAGCUCUGUCGCCUGGGAAGAAACCUUGGGGUAGGAAAUGACUUCAAGCUGACGGUACCAGGAAAGGAAGGACCGGCUAACUCCGUGCCAGCAGCCGCGGUAAUACGGGGGGUCCAAGCGUUAUUCGGAAUUAUUGGGCGUAAAGCGCAUGUAGGCGGUCAGGUAUGUCAGAUGUGAAAGCCCGGAGCUUAACUCCGGAAGUGCAUUUGAAACUGCCUGACUUGAGUCUCGGAGAGGAAAGCGGAAUUCCCAGUGUAGAGGUGGAAUUCGUAGAUAUUGGGAGGAACUCCGGUGGCGAAAGCGGCUUUCUAGACGAUGACUGACGCUCAGAUGCGAAAGCGUGGGU